AUACUUACCUGACAGGGGAGAUACCAUGAUCGAGAAAGUGGUUUUCCCAGGGCGAGUCUCUUCCAUUGCACUCCGGAUGUGCUGACCCCUGAGAUUUCUCCAAAUGUGGGAAAUUUGAAUGCAUUAAUUUGCAGCACUUGGGGGGGGACUGCAUUCCUACUCUCUCCUG
ensembl:snRNA U1 U1 spliceosomal RNA